rnacentral:rRNA from 1 species
CCCAAAGGACUUGGCGGUGCUUAAUAACCCCCUAGAGGAGCCUGUUCUAGAACCGAUAACCCUCGUUUAACCUCACCCCUUCUGGCCAAUCCCGCCUAUAUACCGCCGUCGUCAGCUUACCCUGUGAAGGUCUUAUAGUAAGCACAAUUAGUAAAACCCAAAACGUCAGGUCGAGGUGUAGCACAUGAAGGGGGAAGAAAUGGGCUACAUUUCCUGUCUACAGGACAUUACGAAAAGUGUACUGAAACUUAUGCUAGAAGGAGGAUUUAGUAGUAAGCGGGGAGCAGAGCGCCCCCCUGAAACCGGCCCUUAAGCGCGCACACACCGCCCGUA